UAGGGUCGCCAGCAUUCCUGGUUUGCCUGGGACUGAGAGGUUUCCUGGAAGAGGGGGCUUUCAGUGCUAAA
rnacentral:miRNA from 14 species